rnacentral:rRNA from 1 species
GACGUAGGGCGCGGGCGUUGUCCGGAUUUAUUGGGCGUAAAGAGCUCGUAGGCGGCUUGUCGCGUCGUUCGUGAAAACUUGGGGCUCAACCCCAAGCUUGCGGUCGAUACGGGCAGGCUGGAGUUCGGUAGGGGAGACUGGAAUUUACGGUGUAGCGGUGAAAUGCGUAGAUAUCGUAAGGAAGACCAGUGGCGAAGGCGGGUCUCUGGACAGUUCCUGACGCUGAGGCACGAAGGUCAGGGGAGCAAACGGG